rnacentral:rRNA from 1 species
CCGGGCGACGGUUGUCCCGGUUUAAGCGUGUAGGCUGGUUUUCCAGGCAAAUCCGGAAAAUCAAGGCUGAGGCGUGAUGACGAGGCACUACGGUGCUGAAGCAACAAAUGCCCUGCUUCCAGGAAAAGCCUCUAAGCAUCAGGUAACAUCAAAUCGUACCCCAAACCGACACAGGUGGUCAGGUAGAGAAUACCAAGGCGCUUGAGAGAACUCGGGUGAAGGAACUAGGCAAAAUGGUGCCGUAACUUCGGGAGAAGGCACGCUGAUAUGUAGGUGAAGUCCCUCGCGGAUGGAGCUGAAAUCAGUCGAAGAUACCAGCUGGCUGCAACUGUUUAUUAAAAACACAGCACUGUGCAAACACGAAAGUGGACGUAUACGGUGUGACGCCUGCCCGGUGCCGGAAGGUUAAUUGAUGGGGUCAGCGCAAGCGAAGCUCUUGAUCGAAGCCCCGGUAAACGGCGGCCGUAACUAUAACGGUCCUAAGGUAGCGAAAUUCCUUGUCGGGUAAGUUCCGACCUGCACGAAUGGCGUAAUGAUGGCCAGGCUGUCUCCACCCGAGACUCAGUGAAAUUGAACUCGCUGUGAAGAUGCAGUGUACCCGCGGCAAGACGGAAAGACCCCGUGAACCUUUACUAUAGCUUGACACUGAACAUUGAGCCUUGAUGUGUAGGAUAGGUGGGAGGCUUAGAAGUGUGGACGCCAGUCUGCAUGGAGCCGACCUUGAAAUACCACCCUUUAAUGUUUGAUGUUCUAACGUUGACCCGUAAUCCGGGUUGCGGACAGUGUCUGGUGGGUAGUUUGACUGGGGCGGUCUCCUCCUAAAGAGUAACGGAGGAGCACGAAGGUUGGCUAAUCCUGGUCGGACAUCAGGAGGUUAGUGCAAUGGCAUAAGCCAGCUUGACUGCGAGCGUGACGGCGCGAGCAGGUGCGAAAGCAGGUCAUAGUGAUCCGGUGGUUCUGAAUGGAAGGGCCAUCGCUCAACGGAUAAAAGGUACUCCGGGGAUAACAGGCUGAUACCGCCCAAGAGUUCAUAUCGACGGCGGUGUUUGGCACCUCGAUGUCGGCUCAUCACAUCCUGGGGCUGAAGUAGGUCCCAAGGGUAUGGCUGUUCGCCAUUUAAAGUGGUACGCGAGCUGGGUUUAGAACGUCGUGAGACAGUUCGGUCCCUAUCUGCCGUGGGCGCUGGAGAACUGAGGGGGGCUGCUCCUAGUACGAGAGGACCGGAGUGGACGCAUCACUGGUGUUCGGGUUGUCAUGCCAAUGGCACUGCCCGGUAGCUAAAUGCGGAAGAGAUAAGUGCUGAAAGCAUCUAAGCACGAAACUUGCC